rnacentral:rRNA from 1 species
UACGGGGGGAGCAAGCGUUGUUCGGAUUUACUGGGCGUAAAGGGCGCGUAGGCGGCGCGACAAGUCACUUGUGAAAUCUCUGGGCUCAACCCAGAACGGUCAAGUGAUACUGUCGUGCUAGAGUGCGGAAGGGGCAACUGGAAUUCUUGGUGUAGCGGUGAAAUGCGUAGAUAUCAAGAGGAACACCUGCGGCGAAGGCGGGUUGCUGGGCCGACACUGACGUUGAGGCGCGAAAGUGUGGGGAGCGAACAGG